GAUGAACGCUGGCGGCGUGCCUAAUACAUGCAAGUCGAGCGAACAGACGAGGAGCUUGCUCCUCUGACGUUAGCGGCGGACGGGUGAGUAACACGUGGAUAACCUACCUAUAAGACUGGGAUAACUUCGGGAAACCGGAGCUACUACCGGAUAAUAUAUUGAACCUCAUGGUUCAAUAGUGAAAGACGGUUUUGCUGUCACUUAUAGAUGGAUCCGCGCCGCAUUAGCUAGUUGGUAAGGUAACGGCUUACCAAGGCAACGAUGCGUAGCCGACCUGAGAGGGUGAUCGGCCACACUGGAAGUGAGACACGGUCCAGACUCCUACGGGAGGCAGCAGUAGGGAAUCUUGCGAAAUGGGCGAAAGACUGACGGAGCAACGCCGCGUGAGUGAUGAAGGGCUUCGGAUCGUAAAACUCUGUUAUGAGGGAAGAACAAAUGUGUAAGUAACUAUGCACGUCUUGACGGUACCUAAUCAGAAAGCCACGGCUAACUACGUG
rnacentral:rRNA from 1 species